CAAUAGCGUAUAUUAAAGUUGUUGCAGUUAAAAAGCUCGUAGUCGAACUUCGGGCCUGGCCGGGCGGUCUGCCUAACGGUAUGUACUGUCUGGCCGGGCCUUACCUCUUGGUGAGCCGGCAUGCCCUUCACUGGGUGUGUCGGUGAACCAGGACUUUUACCUUGAGAAAAUUAGAGUGUUCAAAGCAGGCCUAUGCCCGAAUACAUUAGCAUGGAAUAAUAAAAUAGGACGUGUGGUUCUAUUUUGUUGGUUUCUAGAGUCACCGUAAUGAUUAAUAGGGAUAGUUGGGGGCAUUAGUAUUCAGUUGCUAGAGGUGAAAUUCUUGGAUUUACUGAAGACUAACUUCUGCGAAAGCAUUUGCCAAGGAUGUUUNCAUUG
rnacentral:rRNA from 1 species